CAGACUUAACACAUGCAAGUCGAGGGGCAGCAUGAAGGUUAGCAAUAACUUUUGAUGGCGACCGGCGCACGGGUGCGUAACGCGUAUGUAACCUACCUCAAACGAGGGGCAUAACACUGAGAAAUUGGUACUAAUUCCCCAUAACACCUUGGAGGGCAUCCUUUAGGGUUGAAAGUUCCGGCGGUUUGAGAUGGACAUGCGUUGUAUUAGCUAGUUGGUGAGGUAACGGCUCACCAUGGCGACGAUGUCUAGGGGAACUGAGAGGUUAAUCCCCCACACUGGUACUGAGACACGGACCAGACUCCUACGGGAGGCAGCAGUGAGGAAUAUUGGACAAUGGAUGGAGAUCUGAUCCAGCCAUGCCGCGUGCAGGAUGACGGCCCUAUGGGUCUUAAACUGCUUUUGUACGGGAGCAAUAAGUUCUACGUGUAGGAUGAUGAGAGUACCGUACGAAUAAGCAUCGGCUAACUCCGUG
rnacentral:rRNA from 1 species